rnacentral:rRNA from 2 species
UUCAUAAUAACUAAACGAAUCGCAUGGCCUUGCGCCGGCGAUGGUUCAUUCAAAUUUCUGCCCUAUCAACUUUCGAUGGUAGAGUAGUGGUCUACCAUGGUCUCAACGGGUAACGGGGAAUUAGGGUUCUAUUCCGGAGAGGGAGCCUGAGAAACGGCUACCACAUCCAAGGAAGGCAGCAGGCGCGCAAAUUACCCAAUCCCAAUUCGGGGAGGUAGUGACAAUAAAUACUGAUACAGGGCUCUUUUGGGUCUUGUAAUUGGAAUGAGUACAAUCUAAAUCCCUUAACGAGGAACAAUUGGAGGGCAAGUCUGGUGCCAGCAGCCGCGGUAAUUCCAGCUCCAAUAGCGUAUAUUAAAGUUGUUGCCGUUAAAAAGCUCGUAGUUGAACCUUGGGCCUGGCUGAUCUGUCCUCCUAAUCGAGCGCACGGAUUCGGUCGGGCCUUUCCUUCUGGGGAGCCGCAUGCCCUUCACUGGGCGUGUCGGGGAACCAGGACUUUUACCUUGAAAAAAUUAGAGUGUUCAAAGCAGGCCUUUGCUCGAAUACAUUAGCAUGGAAUAAUAGAAUAGGACAGAGGUUCUAUUUUGUUGGUUUCUAGGACCGCUGUAAUGAUUAAUAGGGAUAGUCGGGGGCGUCCGUAUUCAAUUGUCAGAGGUGAAAUUCUUGGAUUUAUUGAAGACGAACUACUGCGAAAGCAUUCGCCAAGGAUGUUUUCAUUAAUCAGUGAACGAAAGUUAGGGGAUCGAAGACGAUCAGAUACCGUCGUAGUCUUAACCAUAAACUAUGCCGACUAGGGAUCGGACGGUGGUUUUUUUAUGCCCCGUUCGGCACCUUACGA